rnacentral:rRNA from 1 species
CAGCAGCCGCCGCGGGAAUACAGAGGGUGCAAGCGUUAAUCGGAAUUACUGGGCGUAAAGCGUGCGCAGACGGUUGCGUAAGUCAGAUGUGAAAGCCCCGGGCUCAACCUGGGAAUUGCAUUUGAGACUGCGUAGCUAGGGUGCGGAAGAGGGAAGCGGAAUUUCCGGUGUAGCGGUGAAAUGCGUAGAUAUCGGAAGGAACACCAGUGGCGAAAGCGGCUUCCUGGUCCAGCACCGACGUUCAGGCACGAAAGCGUGGGGAGCAAACAGGAUUAGAUACCCCUGUAGUCCCUGUCUCUUAUAC